AGUGAACGCUGGCGGUAGGCCUAACACAUGCAAGUCGAACGGCAGCACAGUAAGAGCUUGCUCUUACGGGUGGCGAGUGGCGGACGGGUGAGGAAUACAUCGGAAUCUACUUUUUCGUGGGGGAUAACGUAGGGAAACUUACGCUAAUACCGCAUACGACCUACGGGUGAAAGCAGGGGAUCUUCGGACCUUGCGCGAUUCAAUGAGCCGAUGUCGGAUUAGCUAGUUGGCGGGGUAAAGGCCCACCAAGGCGACGAUCCGUAGCUGGUCUGAGAGGAUGAUCCGCCACACUGGAACUGAGACACGGUCCAGACUCCUACGGGAGGCAGCAGUGGGGAAUAUUGGGCAAUGGGCGCAAGCCUGAUCCAGCCAUACCGCGUGGGUGAAGAAGGCCUUCGGGUUGUAAAGCCCUUUUGUUGGGAAAGAAAAGCAGCAGGUUAAUACCCCGCUGUUCUGACGGUACCCAAAGAAUAAGCACCGGCUAACUUCGUG
rnacentral:rRNA from 1 species